GAUGAACGCUGGCGGCGUGCCUAACACAUGCAAGUCGAGCGAACCCUUCGGGGUGAGCGGCGGACGGGUGAGUAACGCGUGGGUAACCUGCCCUAUACACACGGAUAACGUACCGAAAGGUACGCUAAUACGAGAUAAUAUAUUUUUAUCGCAUGGUAGAAAUAUCAAAGCUCCGGCGGUAUAGGAUGGACCCGCGUCUGAUUAGCUAGUUGGUAAGGUAAUGGCUUACCAAGGCGACGAUCAGUAGCCGACCUGAGAGGGUGAUCGGCCACAUUGGAACUGAGACACGGUCCAAACUCCUACGGGAGGCUG
rnacentral:rRNA from 1 species